rnacentral:rRNA from 1 species
AGUGAACGCUGGCGGCAGGCCUAACACAUGCAAGUCGAGCGGCAGCGCGUCCGACCACCCUCGGGUGGUCGGAUGGCGGCGAGCGGCGGACGGGUGAGGAAUGCAUCGGAAUCUGCCUCGUUGUGGGGGAUAACGUAGGGAAACUUACGCUAAUACCGCAUAAGCCCUGAGGGGGAAAGCAGGGGAUCGCAAGACCUUGCGCGAAUGGAGCGGCCGAUAUCAGAUUAGCUAGUUGGUGAGGUAAAGGCUCACCAAGGCGACGAUCUGUAGCGGGUCUGAGAGGAUGAUCCGCCACACUGGAACUGAGACACGGUCCAGACUCCUACGGGAGGCAGCAGUGGGGAAUUUUGGACAAUGGGCGCAAGCCUGAUCCAGCCAUGCCGCGUGAAGGAUGAAGGCCCUAUGGGUUGUAAACUUCUUUUGUACGGGAAAAAACCUUCUUACGUGUAAGAAGCUGAUUGUACUGUAAGAAUAAGGAUCGGCUAACUCCGUG